rnacentral:rRNA from 1 species
AUAUUCGAUUAGGUAGUUGGAAGGGUAGAAGCCUCCCAAGCCGAAGAUCGAUAGUCAAGUUUGACAGAUCAAAUGACCACAUUGGGAAUGAAAUAUCCCAAGUAGCGUAACGCUACCAGCAGUCAAGAAUAUUAGUCAAUGCUCGCAAGAGUGAACUAGCUAACUGAAAUCAUCGAUGUGUCAUUGAUGAUAACGUAAGGGAAAAUAAUGAUAUUACCUUACUAUUAGUGUCGUCCAAAUACUCGUGCCAGAAGACUCGGUAAGGCGAGAGACGCAAACGUUAGUCGUCUUGAUCAGGCGUAAAGGGUUUGUAGGCGGCUUUAAGAAUUCUUAUCUUACAAAUUUACUAACUAUUAAGUAUAUUCAAUAUAACUAAGAUUAAGUAAAUAAGAAUCAUUUAAAGCUAGAAUCAAAAGGAGGUUAAGAUAUUUAAUGCUUAAAGUAAGGUUGAAAUCCGUAAAUAUUAAGUAGAAAACUAUGGGCGAAGGCUUUUUUCCAAUAAUGAUUGACGCUGAGAAACUAAGGUGAGGACAGAAAAAAGGAUUAGAGACCCUCGUAUCCCUCACUGUCAACAAUGAAUGGAAGUUACUAGAAUAAAUUCUAGAGGCGAUGUUAACACGAAAAACCAUUCCGCCUUGUGAGUACGACUGCAAAGUUGAAAACAAAAAAAUUAGUCGGUUUCGGAGCAAACGAAGUGAAGCAUGUUAUUUAAUACGAUAAUCCGCGUAGAAUCUUACCAGUUCUUGUAUAAAAACUGUAUCUUUAUAUUUUAUUAUUUCUCUUUCUUAGGAAUUAGGUAUAAUAGUAUAUUUAUAUAGGGGAAUAUUAUUUUAAUG